rnacentral:tRNA from 1 species
GGGUAGUUGCCGGAGCGGUCUAACGGACUUGCUUGGAAAGCAAGCGUCCUUCACGGGGCACAAAGGUUCAAAUCCUUUACUAUCCG